rnacentral:rRNA from 1 species
GAAUUUUGGGCAAUGGGCGAAAGCCUGACCCAGCAACGCCGCGUGGGUGAUGAAGGCCUUCGGGUCGUACAGCCCUUUUUCAGGGGAAGAUGAUGCCGGUACCCUGAGAAUAAGCCCCGGCUAACUACGUGCCAGCAGCCGCGGUAAUACGUAGGGGGCAAGCGUUGUCCGGAAUUAUUGGGCGUAAAGCGCGCGUAGGCGGCGUGGUAUGUCGUGCGUGAAAUCUCCCGGCUUAACUGGGAGGGGCCGUGCGAAACUGCCGGGCUUGAGGUCAGAAGGGGAAAGUGGAAUUCCGGGUGUAGUGGUGGAAUACGUAGAUAUCCGGAGGAACACCAGCGGCGAAGGCGGCUUUCUGGUCUGAUACUGACGCUGAGGCGCGAAAGCGUGGGGAGCGAUCCGG